rnacentral:rRNA from 1 species
UGGGGAAUAUUGGACAAUGGAGGUAACUCUGAUCCAGCAAUUCUGUGUGCACGAAGAAGGUUUUCGGAUUGUAAAGUGCUUUCAGUAGGGAAGAAGAAAGUGACGGUACCUACAGAAGAAGCGACGGCUAAAUACGUGCCAGCAGCCGCGGUAAUACGUAUGUCGCAAGCGUUAUCCGGAAUUAUUGGGCUUAAAGGGCAUCUAGGCGGUUUUUCAAGUCAGGGGUGAAAACUUAUGGCUCAACUAUAAGCUUGCCUUUGAAACUGAAAGACUAGAGUACUGGAAAGGUGGGUGGAACUACACGAGUAGAGGUGAAAUUCGUAGAUAUGUGUAGGAAUGCCGAUGAUGAAGAUAACUCACUGGACAGAAACUGACGCUGAAGUGCGAAAGCUAGGGGAGCAAACAGGAUUAGAUACCCUGGUAGUCCUAGCUGUAAACGAUGAUCACUGGGUGUGGGGAUGAGUAGUCUCUGUGCCGAAGCAAAAGCGAUAAGUGAUCCGCCUGGGGAGUACGUACGCAAGUAUG